CCUACGGGCGGCAGCAGUGGGGAAUAUUGGGCAAUGGGCGCAAGCCUGACCCAGCAACGCCGCGUGAAGGAAGAAGGCUCUCGGGUUGUAAACUUCUUUUGUCAGGGACGCAGCAAGUGACGGUACCUGCCGAAUAAGCCACGGCUAACUACGUGCCAGCAGCCGCGGUAAUACGUAGGUGGCAAGCGUUAUCCGGAUUUACUGGGUGUAAAGGGCGUGUAGGGGGGGAAGCAAGUCCGAUGUGAAAACCACGGGCUCAACCUGUGGCCUGCAUUUGAAACUGUGUUUCUUGAGUGCUGGGGAGGCAAUCGGAAUGCCGGGUGUAGCGGUGAAAUGCGUAGAUAUACGGAGGAACACCAGUGGCGAAGGCGGAUUGCUGGACAGUAACUGACGCUGAGGCGCGAAAGCGUGGGGAGCAAACAGGAUUAGAUACCCGAGUAGUC
rnacentral:rRNA from 1 species